rnacentral:rRNA from 1 species
UACGUAGGGUGCAAGCGUUGUCCGGAAUUAUUGGGCGUAAAGAGCUCGUAGGCGGUCUGUCGCGUCUGCUGUGAAAACUCGGGGCUUAACCCCGGGCCUGCAGUGGGUACGGGCAGACUAGAGUGCGGUAGGGGAGACUGGAAUUCCUGGUGUAGCGGUUAAAUGCGCAGAUAUCAGGAGGAACACCGGUGGCGAAGGCGGGUCUCUGGGCCGUAACUGACGCUGAGGAGCGAAAGCGUGGGGAGCGAACAGG